UUGUUUGCGCAGGAUAGGUGGGAGGCGUUGAAGAUUUUCUUGCGGGGAGAUUGGAGCCGUUGGUGAGAUACCACUCUAACAAUGCUAGGAUUCUAACCCUAUACCGUUAUCCGGUUAGGGGACAGUUUCAGGUGGUCAGUUUGACUGGGGCGGUCGCCUCCCAAAAGGUAACGGAGGCGUGCAAAGGUUUCCUCAGGCUGGUCGGAAAUCAGUCGUAGAGUGUAAAGGCAUAAGGAAGCUUGAUUGUGAGACCUACAAGUCGAACAAAGACGAAAGUCGACCUUAGUGAUCCGACGGUUCCGAGUGGAAGGGCCGUCGCUCAACGGAUAAAAGUUACUCUAGGGAUAACAGGCUGA
rnacentral:rRNA from 1 species